rnacentral:rRNA from 1 species
GAUGAACGCUGGCGGCGUGCCUAAUACAUGCCAGUCGAGCGAACGGACGAGAAGCUUGCUUCUCUGAUGUUAGCGGCGGACGGGUGAGUAACACGUGGAUAACCUACCUAUAAGACUGGGAUAACUUCGGGAAACCGUAGCUAAUACCGGAUAAUAUUUUGAACCGCAUGGUUCAAAAGUGAAAGACGGUCUUGCUGUCACUUAUAGAUGGAUCCGCGCUGCAUUAGCUAGUUGGUAAGGUAACGGCUUACCAAGGCAACGAUGCAUAGCCGACCUGAGAGGGUGAUCGGCCACACUGGAACUGAGACACGGUCCAGACUCCUACGGGAGGCAGCAGUAGGGAAUCUUCCGCAAUGGGCGAAAGCCUGACGGAGCAACGCCGCGUGAGUGAUGAAGGUCUUCGGAUCGUAAAACUCUGUUAUUAGGGAAGAACAUAUGUGUAAGUAACUGUGCACACCUUGACGGUACCUAAUCAGAAAGCCACGGCUAACUACGUG